UUCUGACACAAUCUCUAGAUGUGGGAUUGUGCAGAAUAUGGACUCAGAUAAGGGAAGCCUCUUUUCUUCACAGGUCCUACAGGAGCUGAUGAGAACUUCAGAAAUAAAGUGGGAGCUCCAUACUCCAUGGCACCCUCCUUCUUCAGGGAAAGUAGAAUGAAUCAAUCAGAUGCUGAAGAAGCACUUGUGAAAAUUGGUUUCAGUGACCAAAUUACCAUGGACAAAGUGUUUACCUGUAGCCCUUGUCAGAACACGAACCACUCACAGAAAAGGCUUAGGAGUAUCACCGUACGAAGUGCUGUUUGGGUGGCCGUACUUGGGAAUGGUGAGAUGCCCGCUCUUGAAACCAAGGAUAAGUUUCUCCAGAACUGUGUACUCAGGUUGUCUGCUGCUCUGUUACCCCUUAAGGAAUGUGGACUGUUGGCUCAAACUCCACCUCUGGAAUUUCCAGUGCACUCAUCCCGUGUUGGAGGCUGGUCCUAAUAUGCACCUGGAAGGAAUCAAGGCUUCAGCCUGAGUGGGAUGGAAUGGACCAUUUCAGCGAUGCAGUGUUUCAGAAGGGAGAAAAGCACGGCAGGCGUAAACUGGAUUUCUGUGGUUGGUAAAGCUGUGCUGAGAAGUGGGCUGACACUUGGACCUGGAAAUGUGUCUGCAGACUCUGCACCCAGAAGAAUGACUUUUCCCUGCAGGUUGGGAUUGUCUAAGGUGAUUUUUUCACGAGGAAAGAUUUGAAAUGCUGUUUGCUAAUGGAAGAUGGAGAGAGGAAAAUCAAGUGAAAGGCAUGCUGUGCAUAG